UCUCUGGUGGUCCAGUGGGUAAGACUCUGCACUCCUAAUGCAGGGGGCCCAGGUUCGAGCCUGGGUCAGGGAA